rnacentral:rRNA from 1 species
CCUACGGGAGGCUGCAGUGAGGAAUAUUGGUCAAUGGACGAGAGUCUGAACCAGCCAAGUAGCGUGAAGGAUGACUGCCCUAUGGGUUGUAAACUUCUUUUAUAAAGGAAUAAAACGAGGCACGUGUGCCUUUUUGCAUGUACUUUAUGAAUAAGGAUCGGCUAACUCCGUGCCAGCAGCCGCGGUAAUACGGAGGAUCCGAGCGUUAUCCGGAUUUAUUGGGUUUAAAGGGUGCGUAGAUGGGUUGUUAAGUCAGUUGUGAAAUUUUGCGGCUCAACCGUAAAAUUGCAAUUGAUACUGGCAGUCUUGAGUACAGUUGAGGUAGGCGGAAUUCGUGGUGUAGCGGUGAAAUGCUUAGAUAUCACGAAGAACCCCGAUUGCGAAGGCAGCUUACUAAACUGUGACUGACAUUGAUGCUCGAAAGUGUGGGUAUCAAACAGGAUUAGAUACCCCUGUAGUC